UACGAAGGGGGCUAGCGUUGUUCGGAAUUACUGGGCGUAAAGGGCGCGUAGGCGGCUCUGAUCGUCGGAUGUGAAAGGCCUGGGCUCAACCUGGGAAUGGCAUCCGAUACGGCGGGGCUGGAGUGUGGGAGAGGUUGGUGGAAUUCCCAGUGUAGAGGUGAAAUUCGUAGAUAUUCGGAAGAACACCAGUGGCGAAGGCGACUCACUGGACAUGUAUUGACGCUGAGGUGCGAAAGCGUGGGGAGCAAACAGGG
rnacentral:rRNA from 1 species